rnacentral:rRNA from 1 species
GUCGAACGCUUCUUUUUCCACCGGAGCUUGCUCCACCGGAAAAAGAAGAGUGGCGAACGGGUGAGUAACACGUGGGUAACCUGCCCAUCAGAAGGGGAUAACACUUGGAAACAGGUGCUAAUACCGUAUAACAAUCAAAACCGCAUGGUUUUGAUUUGAAAGGCGCUUUCGGGUGUCGCUGAUGGAUGGACCCGCGGUGCAUUAGCUAGUUGGUGAGGUAACGGCUCACCAAGGCCACGAUGCAUAGCCGACCUGAGAGGGUGAUCGGCCACAUUGGGACUGAGACACGGCCCAAACUCCUACGGGAGGCAGCAGUAGGGAAUCUUCGGCAAUGGACGAAAGUCUGACCGAGCAACGCCGCGUGAGUGAAGAAGGUUUUCGGAUCGUAAAACUCUGUUGUUAGAGAAGAACAAGGAUGAGAGUAACUGUUCAUCCCUUGACGGUAUCUAACCAGAAAGCCACGGCUAACUACGUGCCAGCAGCCGCGGUAAUACGUAGGU